AUGCUGGUAGCACCGAACCGGCGAGGAGAAGUAGCAGCGCACUCUUCGUCUGCGGUGGACAACAUCGCCCCCAGCGGCGGGUCUUCGCCGGCCGCGUCGGCCAUCGUCGCGCAGGCUGUUUCCGGGUCGCACGUCGUCAAGAUAGACGGCUACUCCCGCAUCAAGGGGCUUGGCAACGGCAAAUACAUCGCAUCGGAGUCUUUCACCAUCGGAGGCCAUCGAUGGUGUAUGCGCUACUACCCAGACGGCUGUCAGACUGAAGACGCAUAUUGGAUAUCCAUCUAUCUGCAGCAUAGUACUGAUCCAACUGAUGCUAGUGAAGUCAAAGCAGAGUUCAAGAUGAGUUUGCUUGACCAGGACAGGCAACCAGUGGCAUUGCGCGGCAGAUGCAUACACACCUUCUCCAGCAAAGAACGUGCCUGGGGCUUCCGUCAGUUCAUCAAAAGAAAGGACCUGGAGGAAUCCCCUUACCUUAAGGAUGAUGUUUUCAGCAUCAGGUUUGAUGUCACCGUGUCAAAGGGGAUCUUCACCGAGCCAAUCCUACCCCAUGUGGUGGUGCCACCGUCUAACAUGCACCAGCAUCUUGGACAACUGCUCUCGGCCGGCGAGGCGGCCGAUGUUACCUUCGAGGUCGGAGGCGAGACAUUUGCCGCGCACAGGUGCAUACUCGCAGCUCGUUCGUCGGUCUUCAAGGCGGAGCUCCUCGGCCCCAUGAAGGAGAAGACCGCAACUCGCGUCUGA
rnacentral:rRNA from 1 species